rnacentral:tRNA from 1 species
GCCUGGCUGGCUCAGUCGGUAAGAGUGUGUGACUCCUGAUCUGUUGUGAGUUCAAGCCCCACGUUGGGUG